CUCUCUCUCUCUCUCUCUAAUGUAUUGACAGGACACACCUUCAAGCCCUCAAAAAGUUUUCUAAAACAACGCGUCCUUCCCAACACAACCAACGAACUUACUUCUCUUCUCUUCACUCCCUCAAAAACCCUAACUCUCUCUCUCCCUCUCUCUCUCUUUGCUUUUUCACUCUAUCUGUUCAACUAUUCUCCACCAAUUCCCUCCUAAUUCUCACUUCACCUUCAAAUCCCUAAUCGUGCCUUCGAUCCUUCAUGGACAAUCCCGAUCCGGGAGGCCAUUUCGCUACCGACUCUAACUGGAAUCUCGGGCCUGACUCCGAUAACGUCAAUUACUUUUUCGCUAGAGACAGGGAGAGUAGUAUACUCUGUGAAUUCGGAUGGAAUCUUCCCCCCUACCACUCUUCCAGCGAGCCGAGCUGCUUUGGAGACUUCGAUCGGAUCGAUGCCGAAGAUACGCCCGAUUCGGCGGGGAACCUUGGUUUUGCACCCAAGAGUAGUAGCGCGUUACGGGGAUCGGUUAGUGGUGGUCAUCAGGCGGGUACGGUCGGGUCUGGGAGCGGUGGUGGUGGUGGUGGUGACGUGUCAACUUCGAAUCCGUCAGUUUCUUCGAGCUCCAGCGAGGAUCCGCCCGAUAAGUCUGCGAGCUUCGGCGGGAAACCACCUGAGAUACCGAGUAAAGUUAGAAAGAAGGGGCAAAAACGAAUCCGCCAGCCACGUUUUGCAUUUAUGACUAAGAGUGAAGUUGAUCAUCUGGAGGAUGGUUACCGUUGGCGGAAAUAUGGACAGAAAGCGGUUAAAAAUAGUCCAUUUCCCAGGAGCUACUAUCGUUGCACAAAUAGCAGAUGUACCGUGAAAAAGAGGGUUGAACGAUCUUCUGAAGAUCCCGCCAUUGUGAUUACUACUUAUGAAGGCCAGCACUGUCACCCUACUGUUGGUUUUCACCGAGGUGGAAUCAUUAGCCAUGAAUCGACAUUUGUCAACCACUUAACCCCCCCAGUUUCACAAUUUUAUUAUCCUGGAAUUCAGUUACCUCGAGAAAGUCCAACUAUUGCACAGUCACAACAGGUACCUGUUCAAACAAUCGAAAUCGGUAUGCUACGAGAGCCUACCCCACAGAUUCCAGUAGAUGAAGGACUUCUCGGGGACAUUGUGCCUCCUGGAAUGCGUAGAUGAGGUGAUGCUCUAAUUGAUGUGCUAGCUCUUAUAC
rnacentral:misc_RNA from 1 species